CAGAGCGAUACUGAAGUUUUCUGGUAGGCAGGACUGCGUGAUGAUGUGGCGUGGAUGAUCUGUAGUCCAAUCCAAGGACUACAGGGAAUUAGCAGGUCUGCAGAUGAACCUUAACACUGGGACAACCGAUUAGAGCUGUCUUCCAGGCUCAAGAGAGCUGUCUGGUCUGGCCAAAGUGGUAUGUGGGGUGUCAGCACGGUACAGGGAACGGAGAAGGCACGAGAUCCUCUGGGAAAUGCCAACAUCCAAAAGGCAACGGAAGUAAACUUCUUUCCCUCCGCUGUUUGGGCCCCAACGCGGCGAACCCACAGCGUUGGGCGGGAGGGACUUACCGAGGCUUUAAAUGCGGAGGGGCCCUCCAGGCCCACGCAGGCAGCUGACGGCCGAGGCCCAGCUGGCGAGGAGCACCUGGGAAGGAGCGGAGCGCGCAGGGCCUGAGCCCCAGAUGCCAAGGAACCGCAGCACCUGCACCUCGGGUAACCGGCGGAGGUGCCAGCCAGGAGCCCGGGUCACCAGCUCCGCACCCCGCCCACGGCGCCGAAAGUCCCUCUCCGGGGCCCGCCGCCCUCCCAGCCUUCCGAUUGGCGGAGAGGACCAUGGGACCUGGAAGUUGUCUUUGUCCGGCGAGGGCUGCCCUUCCGGUUCCGUUGGGUCCCCCUUUGGCUCGGGUUCCCUGCCCCUCCCCCUUCCCGGAGCCCCGAGGGGCCGGAGCUCCUGGCGGUGCCGGAUCCUGACGGUGGCCUUCCCCCCGGUCUUUUUCAGGGUCAAGUUUGGAUGCCAGAAAAAAACAAAUGAGUGAUCCUGCGAUAUAUGUAUCAGCCAUAUAUGUAUGAACUGUCUAAAGGACAGUUUGCUGGGAAAGCUGAAGAAAGAAAGUGACGUCUGAAUCAUACUUUUUGAAGAGGAUACGGUGGAGAAGAGCUUUUCCGACAGGAGGAACAGUUGCUAUGCUGUGAAGGAAUAACUGAGCAUAACUUGUGUGGGAAGUGGGGGGCGGGCUCUUGUGCAAAGGAUGAGAGAUGAGGCUGGAAAAUUCGACAGAAGUUCAGAUAGGGAAAGGUUUAAUCCUAAAGGAGAUGGGUACUUUUCGAAGAGAUUUGAGCAGGAGAAUGAUAUGGUCAGAUUUACACUGUAGAAAACCAUCUCGUUCAACCUAGAGAAUAGAAAUUUCUAUAAACUGAUUCUGGAGUCUUUAGCUAAAAUCUUUGUGCUCUUAUUGGAGAUUCCUUUGAAGGAGUAAUGGGAUCAGCCUAGUGAGAGGUAACGAAAUCCUGAAAUGAAAUUAUGACAGUAUUAUUGGGAAGAAGGCAAGUAUGCUCUAGGUGAAUGGUGUCAGGACUUCAUAAUAAAUUGGCUGUUAAGGGUGAAAGAGGUAUCA
rnacentral:lncRNA from 1 species